GGCAGCGUAGCUCAGUGGAAAGAGCACGGGCUUGGGAGUCAAAGGUCAUGGGUUCGAAUCCUGGCUCUGCCA
rnacentral:tRNA from 1 species